UGGUAGAUGCACCCUGAUAACUCACUCCCCUUAGUAGCUGCCGGCUACUGGGGGAAUUUUUUU
rfam:Calothrix sp. 336/3, complete genome.